rnacentral:rRNA from 1 species
GGUUAAGCGACUAAGCGUACACGGUGGAUGCCCUGGCAGUCAGAGGCGAUGAAGGACGUGCUAAUCUGCGAUAAGCGUCGGUAAGGUGAUAUGAACCGUUAUAACCGGCGAUUUCCGAAUGGGGAAACCCAGUGUGUUUCGACACACUAUCAUUAACUGAAUCCAUAGGUUAAUGAGGCGAACCGGGGAACUGAAACAUCUAAGUACCCCGAGGAAAAGAAAUCAACCGAGAUUCCCCAGUAGCGGCGAGCGAACGGGGAGGAGCCCAGAGCCUGAAUCAGUGUGUGUGUUAGUGGAAGCGUCUGGAAAGGCGUGCGAUACAGGGUGACAGCCCCGUACACAAAAAUGCACAUAUUGUGAGCUCGAUGAGUAGGGCGGGACACGUGGUAUCCUGUCUGAAUAUGGGGACCAUCCUCCAAGGCUAAAUACUCCUGACUGACCGAUAGUGAACCAGUACCGUGAGGGAAAGGCGAAAAGAACCCCGGCGAGGGGAGUGAAAAAGAACCUGAAACCGUGUACGUACAAGCAGUGGGAGCCUCUUAAUGGGGUGACUGCGUACCUUUUGUAUAAUGGGUCAGCGACUUAUAUUCUGUAGCAAGGUUAACCGAAUAGGGGAGCCGAAGGGAAACCGAGUCUUAACUGGGCGUUAAGUUGCAGGGUAUAGACCCGAAACCCGGUGAUCUAGCCAUGGGCAGGUUGAAGGUUGGGUAACACUAACUGGAGGACCGAACCGACUAAUGUUGAAAAAUUAGCGGAUGACUUGUGGCUGGGGUGAAAGGCCAAUCAAACCGGGAGAUAGCUGGUUCUCCCCGAAAGCUAUUUAGGUAGCGCCUCGUGAAUUCAUCUCCGGGGUAGAGCACUGUUUCGGCAAGGGGUCAUCCCGACUUACCAACCCGAUGCAAACUGCGAAUACCGGAGAAUGUUAUCACGGGAGACACACGGCGGGUGCUAACGUCCGUCGUGAAGAGGGAAACAACCCAGACCGCCAGCUAAGGUCCCAAAGUCAUGGUUAAGUGGGAAACGAUGUGGGAAGGCCCAGACAGCCAGGAUGUUGGCUUAGAAGCAGCCAUCAUUUAAAGAAAGCGUAAUAGCUCACUGGUCGAGUCGGCCUGCGCGGAAGAUGUAACGGGGCUAAACCAUGCACCGAAGCUGCGGCAGCGACACUAUGUGUUGUUGGGUAGGGAGCGUUCUGUAAGCCUGUGAAGGUGUGCUGUGAGGCAUGCUGGAGGUAUCAGAAGUGCGAAUGCUGACAUAAGUAACGAUAAAGCGGGUGAAAAGCCCGCUCGCCGGAAGACCAAGGGUUCCUGUCCAACGUUAAUCGGGGCAGGGUGAGUCGACCCCAAGGCGAGGCCGAAAGGCGUAGUCGAUGGGAAACAGGUUAAUAUUCCUGUACUUGGUGUUACUGCGAAGGGGGACGGAGAAGGCUAUGUUGGCCGGGCGACGGUUGUCCCGGUUUAAGCGUGUAGGCUGGUUUUCCAGGCAAAUCCGGAAAAUCAAGGCUGAGGCGUGAUGACGAGGCACUACGGUGCUGAAGCGACAAAUGCCCUGCUUCCAGGAAAAGCCUCUAAGCAUCAGGUAACAUCAAAUCGUACCCCAAACCGACACAGGUGGUCAGGUAGAGAAUACCAAGGCGCUUGAGAGAACUCGGGUGAAGGAACUAGGCAAAAUGGUGCCGUAACUUCGGGAGAAGGCACGCUGAUAUGUAGGUGAAGCGACUUGCUCGUGGAGCUGAAAUCAGUCGAAGAUACCAGCUGGCUGCAACUGUUUAUUAAAAACACAGCACUGUGCAAACACGAAAGUGGACGUAUACGGUGUGACGCCUGCCCGGUGCCGGAAGGUUAAUUGAUGGGGUUAGCGGUAACGCGAAGCUCUUGAUCGAAGCCCCGGUAAACGGCGUACGUAACUAUAACGGUCCUAAGGUAGCGAAAUUCCUUGUCGGGUAAGUUCCGACCUGCACGAAUGGCGUAAUGAUGGCCAGGCUGUCUCCACCCGAGACUCAGUGAAAUUGAACUCGCUGUGAAGAUGCAGUGUACCCGCGGCAAGACGGAAAGACCCCGUGAACCUUUACUAUAGCUUGACACUGAACAUUGAGCCUUGAUGUGUAGGAUAGGUGGGAGGCUUUGAAGUGUGGACGCCAGUCUGCAUGGAGCCGACCUUGAAAUACCACCCUUUAAUGUUUGAUGUUCUAACGUUGGCCCGUAAUCCGGGUUGCGGACAGUGUCUGGUGGGUAGUUUGACUGGGGCGGUCUCCUCCUAAAGAGUAACGGAGGAGCACGAAGGUUGGCUAAUCCUGGUCGGACAUCAGGAGGUUAGUGCAAUGGCAUAAGCCAGCUUGACUGCGAGCGUGACGGCGCGAGCAGGUGCGAAAGCAGGUCAUAGUGAUCCGGUGGUUCUGAAUGGAAGGGCCAUCGCUCAACGGAUAAAAGGUACUCCGGGGAUAACAGGCUGAUACCGCCCAAGAGUUCAUAUCGACGGCGGUGUUUGGCACCUCGAUGUCGGCUCAUCACAUCCUGGGGCUGAAGUAGGUCCCAAGGGUAUGGCUGUUCGCCAUUUAAAGUGGUACGCGAGCUGGGUUUAGAACGUCGUGAGACAGUUCGGUCCCUAUCUGCCGUGGGCGCUGGAGAACUGAGGGGGCUGCUCCUAGUACGAGAGGACCGGAGUGGACGCAUCACUGGUGUUCGGGUUGUCAUGCCAAUGGCACUGCCCGGUAGCUAAAUGCGGAAGAGAUAAGUGCUGAAAGCAUCUAAGCACGAAACUUGCCCCGAGAUGAGUUCUCCUGAGACUUAGAGUCUCCUGAAGGAACGUUGAAGACGACGACGUUGAUAGGCCGGGUGUGUAAGCGCAGCGAUGCGUUGAGCUAACCGGUACUAAUGAACCGUGAGGCUUAACCUU